ensembl:lncRNA
ACUACUACUCCCCCCCCGUCAGUCAUUCCGCCCGCAACGACUACUACCCCCCGUUCCGCCCGCAACGACUACUACCCCUCCGUCGGUCGUUCCGCCCGCAACGACUACUACCCCCCCCCCACGCCGGACUUCUCGACCGGUCCGCGAAACAUUGUCUGACAUGAAACCGGUCCGUGAGGUAAAAAAGGUUGGGGACCACUGGGCUGAUCCACAACGUGUAUGUUUACACACCUCCUGGAUCCUGAUUGGUGUCGCUGCUGCAGCCGCAAGGCACUGAUUGGAUGCUCACAGACCGUAAUACAGCGCAGAUGAACAUGAUUCAGACUACGGCGUUUAUAUGUUCAACAAUAGGAAACGUAGUCUUAGCUGUUUUAAAAUUACACCAAGUUUAUUUCGGAUUAUUCCAACGGAAGAAUACAAGGCGCAGGGAACUUUGAGGUGCGUAAACGCCACUUAGAGGUGCGUAAACGCUAUUUCCAAAAUUCUAGAGGUGCGUAAACGGCGUUUACGUGCGUCUUCUGGAUACGACUAAACCUAAUCCCUGUGUACCUGUUAUUCAUUAAAUCUGCGCUCUGUGCUUGGGUCUACUUCUGUCUCCUGUGAUGUGUUACAAUAUGGUUGUAAUUUGUCAUAUCAAUUGAAUUAAAGUUCAAAGUUCAAAUAAAUAUUGAAUACUUCAGUUCAUAUAUACAUAUAUCAAUACUUUAUCACUGAGAUUUGACUUCUCAGACUCACUUUCUAUUCAAACAGUAACUUCUGUCUCUGUGCAGUUAUUUAAAAUCUGUUUUCGCACCAGUUAUUCACAUUUUCUUUGUGAUAUAUGUUUCACAAAUAUCCACACAAUUUUUGUGUUCAGUAGACCGUUGGAAAAAUUCCCAGUUUUGGCAAAAAGCCUCCAGUAAUUGUCAGUCAGUUGCUCGCUGGUUGGCAAAAAAUAUAAAACAUGAGAGCUGAGCCAUCAGACACAGACACACACAGAGCGAGGGUGAAGUGUGUGUAUUAAUAGCUGCCGUCUCGUGGAGUUUUCAUUGCUGUGAGAUAUCAGAAAGGAGGUGAGAAACAUCAAAGUGAACGCCAAUACGAAGAAACCGAGUUUUCCACUCACUUUGUCCAGUUCUACGGAACAGAAGCUACUUUAUUUCUUGACUCUGGAAACACGAUGGAUGCUGUGAUGCAGCGACUGAUCCCCAUUAAGAAAAUCAAUUGAUCUCCAUGAGUGACUAAAAUGGAAUUUUCACAGCUGUGCCUUUAGCCAGAAAAAGGGGGAAAAGACUGGCCUGUCAACAGUGGGAGUGAUAAACAUUACACUGGAGGGCUGUUCCACAAAGCAGCGUUAUCAGUAAACUCACGCUUAUUUUAAUACCACAGGUUUGUUUACAGGGAAUGUUCUGUGCACAUUUUUAUGAUCGAUUUAUGGUGCAAAUGGAUAAAAACUCCUUUUUUCUCCUUCACUGUAGAUGCCCAUACACUUUCAGAAAGAAAUGCAUAUAUUAUUUAACUUUUUUAAUAAAAGAAUAAUACUUAUAUAUAAUACAUUACCUGGUGUUAAAAACAACAUUUAGGAUUGAGUCAGUGGAAUAAAAGAAUAUCUGACAUUAGAAACCAGGCUUCUAUCCUGCUAUCAUUUUUCCCUGUGAUCCCCGGCGGAUCUCCUCCGGGAAAUGCACGUUCUUUUUAAUGAGUACUGUACAACAGCUGGAAAAUGUGUCUGUCGCAUGAACGGGUGCCAGAGUUAAUACGUAGCCGGGCGCAGGCAGGUUGUGGCUGUAGGGAAAAGCCUUUAUAUAGAAGCAUGUGUUUUACAGUGCCCAUUUAUCCUAAUGGGGCGAACCCACAGGGGGGAAUAUUUCCAGCUUGAAUCUCCUGCAGGGGCUUCAGCUAUGUGCAACCAAUGUGGGGAAAGGUAAUUCAGCGUUGUGGGGAGGCCACGGACGGGCAGUUAACACCAGGUCACACGGUACAGAGCCAGUUCUGCGUCCACGUACUGAUGACAGGAACGCUCUGAAAGAGGUUUUGGAGUGUGCUUUCAUCGCAGCUGUGGUUCACUUAUUCUCAGGGUAGAUUCACAGGAUGCGUGCUGACAGAUAGCAUGUAUGGGUUUAUAUGUUUCUGCAUGUGUUACGUUCCGACUCCCCAGGAGGGGAGUGGGAUUCACGCCACUGCCCGAGGACGCCCUGUGGCCAGUAAACGUGUAUGGCGUCGUAGGUGCAAGAAAAAACAUCACCUGAAGUUGGGGUAAGCAGGCUUUUAUUUAAGUGCAGUUAACAGGGGAAAUGAGGAGGGCUGGCAGUACCAAAGCAAAGAGGAGAACAAAAUGCCUCCCACCCCCUUACCCGUCCUAUCUCCCAACAAAAAUCACUAACUAACUGGCACACUAACAAGGCCCCCUACCCAAACUUACAGUAGGUGGCCCAGCCAGGUGUAGCUAGUGUUGUUAGACAGGUAUGUAAACUCCGGAGCAGGGCUAAACUACUCCUCAUCCCCCUGUAAGAAAAGGAACAAAGAAAAAACAAUUAAUCGAAAACACAGUACAGCAAAUCAACAGAACUAAUAACUACCCCACCACACACCAGCAUUCACAUACACACAACCAGAGUGACACCCACCCAGGUGAAACAAACACAGGGGUACAUAUACCGACAGAAGGGCAUGAUGGGAUUGGAGAUGAGUGGAAACAGCUGAACCGGGUAACGAACGGGGGUGGAGCCAAGAUGAAUGGAGAUCAUGGAUGAUCAGUACCACCUGAACAGGGGACGUAACAGCAUGAUACAGUGUGAUGUCGUGGGGGCUCGCUUACACAAAGCAUUGUUUGCUCAUUACUCAUUACAAUUUUGGGCUCUCCCCCCGAACUGUGAGAAAUAUGACAAACCCCUAUGAGAGGAUGUGAGAGCAAUUCACACAGCGAAAUAUUUAUGCUCUCAGGCCAGUCUAUGAUGCUUCUUCGAGGACGCAAAAUAGGAUUUACAGCAACAACAGUUAAGGUGCAGAGAAGAGACUUAAAAGAAACAAGAUCACGUACAAGUAUUAUAAAUAAGCAGUAAUAAAACACGAGUCUACAGUAAAAAUGAAAUGAAAUGUUACAUAUACAGACAGAAUAGCCACUAUAACCGUAAUAACUACAUGAUAAUAGGAAUGUUUGCAUUGAUCCCUAAAACUCCUUAUAUGGAUAACCUGGGUUACCGAGGUAAGGUUAUGAAUAUUGUGUGGUAAUACACUCCUGUGCUCUGCUAAGUAUCACGGAGCAGAUCAUCAAUCCCCUUUUGCUUUGUGUAACAAAUCCACCUCUGUAGACCUGUGGGUUGUGCUCUCAGACUCAUCUGAUUCAACCUGUAAGCCUGUAUACAAUCAUGAGCAUACCUUUUCUUCUACCAUACAUUAUAUACCGUAUACAGUGUGUAGAGUUUGAACUUUCUGCUGUUACAAUUCCAUUUACUUCCACUUUAUUUUUAAGGACUAUGUACAAGAAAAGGCCACAGAGGAAAUACAGGUUUAGUGGUACUUGAAUCCUUCAAAACAAGUUUGAAGGAUUCAAGGCUCCUUCUGGUCGGUAGUGUUGCCGGGGAGCCGGCAGUUGAAUAACUCUUCUAUAUUGCAAGUCGGCUUACAGCCAAUUGCUCCAGGAUGCAAAAAGACAUUCACUUGUGUUGUAAAAUAUACAAAAUAUUUAGCUAUUGGGAUAGAAACAUGCUUAAUCACUUCUAUGCAAUGACCAACAACUUGUAUUUCCAAUAUGAAAUGUGCGAGGGCAGAGAUGCAAGUACUGAAUAACGAAAUUACAGACUUCAGCUAGUGGCAGCUGCUGGCUUGAUGAUGGCGUGCCAAGAAAAAAAAAAAUCAUCCUCUAAUUCAACCCUGCUAUGAGCUGGACAGCUUAGGCAGAGACUAUGCCCAUGCACCUUUUCCCUCCAACACACACACACACACACCAGGGCCCGAAAACCUUCCACCAAAUGAAGCCUAAUGCUGCAAAAUGAUGUGUUUUGUCUGGCUAGAAUGAGAGGAGAAACAGAAUGAUCUACUUUGUCAUCAUUUCUUUGUCAUUAAGCUGCAGACUUGGAUAUCAUGGGGAGGAUUUCUUUGUGUAAUUACUCUUUUACCACAGCGCCAAGAAUGAGAAUGUUUGGCCAAAAUCAAUAUGAUAAUGCUGAUAAAAAUACCUGUCGCCCACAGCAGAAGGAAUGGAUUUGUAAAUAACAUACUUCUCUAAUUUCCAAAUGCAGCAGAUGAACAAACAAUGGUUCAGUAGGAAAUUCAUGGCAGGCAUUCAACAGCAAGAAAAACCUGCCCGCGGCUUGGAAAAACUCAUAAUGGUUCAUGAAUAAAGAUUGAAAACUCACUUAAAAGGUCCGCACUGUCCUGUGUGACGGAGCGUGUUCAUGAACAGGUCUUGUUGAUGACAACUAUAUUGUUUACUACCAGACAACAUCCACCAUUAAAAAAGUAAAUUGUCACUUCCACGUGUUUGUAGGGUGUUUCUUCUUGCUUCUUCAGCUUCUUGCAAUGGUAAACGGUGUAUUUUUGACCAUUGGAAAAAAAGUGGGUCUUGUAAAGAUAACUGAUGGUACUGAUGUAUUUUUGGGACCAAUUAACUAGCAAUCAAGUAAGCGAAACAGAGCUAGCUCAGAUCUGUGACUGUCAGGGGAGGAAAACUCUCUGAAGUGUCUUCAAAGUGCCCACAAAAAGAUAUGGAUUGAUCCUUGUGAAUGCCUGGAUUUCCUCUAUUUCCCUCUUCUUUCAAUCACUUGAAUAUUAUUUAUCAUCUACAGCCAUAGCCUCUGCAGUGUCUGUUGCUUUCACUCCCUCCUUUGAAAAACUCCCAUUUAACUGUCUUCCGACCAGUGCAUUACGAGUCUCUGGUGGCAGCCUCCGCAAAAAGAAAUCGAAACUGUCACCGUAUGUUCCUGCAGAUUUAUUGAUUAAGUGUGAAAUGCUGCCAUGUUGUUCACUACCGGGGUGAAAAAUAGGUAGGCGGGACCUGUCUGUGAAGGAAGAAGAAGCUAUUAAAAAUUGCCGGUGUUGGCGGCAGUAGAGUAGGUUCAGGACAAGACAAAUGUAUCGUGGACAUGCAGGGAAUGAUUAGUUCUCCUGAAUGUGGACUAUCUGCCUUAUGGGAGCAGUUCUGUGGAUUGUGUGGCACAUUAAGGGCCUAUCAACCAUUAACAGUAUUACAAAGCAAUUAAUUGCUUCACUAAAACAUGAAUUUAUGAUGUUCAUUUUGAAGAUAUUUUUUGUUGCUAGUGCAGUGUUUGCCCCUCCAUUAUAUCGUAGGGGGGCAAAGGUCUUAACCCAGGGGAAACACUGUAGUGUAUUAUUCAUUGCCUGAUAAGUAUCAAUUCAGUUUAUUUCUAUCUAUGUCUCUAUGACAUAGGAAGCCCCCCCCCCCCCCGACCAUGAAAUCUGAUCCCCAAACGGGGUUUGAUUUAUUUCACACAACAUGUCUGCUGAGCGUUUAUGAUUUGAUAAAUCCCCGAAAUUAGUAAUUUUUAUGGUAAAACUUAAAAUCUCUAUCCUGUUAAAUCUGACAGAAUUUCCUAAGAGAUACUUGAGGUGCUCGAUAAAAAAGUUUAUCCUCUGGGUCACAUGAAUCAUCUUUCCAAGAGU